UGUAAGUGUUGCCGUAUAGCUGGGGUUUCAAAGCGGCAUGUGCCUCCCUUUAUGCAAUGCCCUUGGAAAUCCCAAACGUGCUGGCGAUGACA
rfam:Papilio xuthus contig12257, whole genome shotgun sequence.